rnacentral:rRNA from 1 species
GAUGAACGCUGGCGGCGUGCUUAACACAUGCAAGUCGAACGAUGAAGCCCAGCUUGCUGGGUGGAUUAGUGGCGAACGGGUGAGUAACACGUGAGCAACCUGCCCCUGACUCUGGGAUAAGCGCUGGAAACGGCGUCUAAUACUGGAUAUGUCCCGUCACCGCAUGGUGUGCGGGUGGAAAGAUUUUUCGGUUGGGGAUGGGCUCGCGGCCUAUCAGCUUGUUGGUGAGGUAAUGGCUCACCAAGGCGUCGACGGGUAGCCGGCCUGAGAGGGUGACCGGCCACACUGGGACUGAGACACGGCCCAGACUCCUACGGGAGGCAGCAGUGGGGAAUAUUGCACAAUGGGCGGAAGCCUGAUGCAGCAACGCCGCGUGAGGGAUGACGGCCUUCGGGUUGUAAACCUCUUUUAGCAGGGAAGAAGCGAAAGUGACGGUACCCGCAGAAAAAGCACCGGCUAACUACGUG